AACCUCCGCAAUGUGAGAAAUCGCGACGGGGGGAUCCCAAGUGCCAUUCUUAACGGGAUGGCUUUUCAUUAGUGUAAAGAGCUUUUGGAAUAAGAGCUGGGCAAGACCGGUGCCAGCCGCCGCGGUAACACCGGCAGCUCUAGUGGUAACAAUUUUUAUUGGGCCUAAAGUGUCCGUAGCCGGUUUAAUAAGUCUCUGGUGAAAUCCUGUAGCUUAACUGUGGGAAUUGCUGGAGAUACUAUUAGACUUGAGACCGGGAGAGGUUAGAGGUACUCCCAGGGUAGAGGUGAAAUUCUGUAAUCCUGGGAGGACCGCCUGUUGCGAAGGCGUCUAACUGGAACGGUUCUGACGGUGAGGGACGAAAGUUAGGGGCGCGAACCGGAUUAGAUACCCGGGUAGUCCUAACUGUAAACGAUGCGGACUUGGUGUUGGGGUGGCUUUGAGCUGCUCCAGUGCCGAAGGGAAGCUGUUAAGUCCGCCGCCUGGGAAGUACGGUCGCAAGACUGAAACUUAAAGGAAUU
rnacentral:rRNA from 1 species